GUAGGUGGCAAGCGUUAUCCGGAAUCAUUGGGCGUAAAGGGUGCGUAGGUGGCGUACUAAGUCUGUAGUAAAAGGCAAUGGCUCAACCAUUGUAAGCUAUGGAAACUGGUAUGCUGGAGUGCAGAAGAGGGCGAUGGAAUUCCAUGUGUAGCGGUAAAAUGCGUAGAUAUAUGGAGGAACACCAGUGGCGAAGGCGGUCGCCUGGUCUGUAACUGACACCGAGGCACGAAAGCGUGGGGAGCAAAUAGGAUUAGAUACCCUAGUAGUCCACGCCGUAAACGAUGAGAACUAAGUGUUGGAGANAUUCAGUGCUGCAGUUAACGCAAUAAGUUCUCCGCCUGGGAAGU
rnacentral:rRNA from 1 species